AAUCAUUUAUUUGGGGGCGGAGGCGGCUGCAGUACUCCUCGAUAAGUACGGGAUUUAAUUUAGUAUCGAAUCAAGAGCUGACGAUUACUCCUUAAGUUACAUCGCUAAGUUAUUUCUGUAUAUGAAUGGCGUGCUUACUUCGGCCGAAUUAGGAUAAAUGGGAAGAAAGAAAUUUUGCGCUGCCCCUGGGUGCUCUUCAUCCAGUAAGCAGAAUGGUUUGAAACUCUUAAACUUUUGCAGAGAUUCAGCACGGGCUAUGGUAUGGACAGGAAGAGUUGGGAUGUACUGCACCAUUGAUUCUGCUAGAAUGCUGCACUAUAAAUAUUUGUGCAGUAGAAAGUGAUUUCACUACAGCUGAAAGUUAUUGCCCCAAGAACCCAGCUGUAAUCAAACAAACAUCAUUGUCAUAAUUUAUUACUACUGAAACUGUAUAUCAGUAUACAGGUCAUGUAGAGUAUGUCACAAACACUAAUGUUUUAGGAUAAUUAAAAAAUGUUUGAAAAGCUGAACAUGCUUUCAGUAAUAUUAUUUAUGAGAGAAUGAGGCAGUAAUGACUUUACUAUGAGGAAUAACGUAACCAGUGUACAAAUUUUUUAUAGAGGCAGUAUGUUGUAAAGUAAUAUUUGUUAUUUCCCAUUGCGAAGAAUUAUGGUAAUCCACCAUGUAAGGAAGCACACUAAUUUUGCAUUUUUCUUUCGUUCAUUCAGGAGGGUGCUGCAGUGAAUACCCGGCAACAGCUGUGUUUAUUGAGGAGGUUGACAAACUCUUUGAGAGUUUAAAUGAUGGAAUGCGUAUUGACCCUGAGAAAACACUGUGUUGCCCACUAAGCAAUAACAGUCCCCAUAUAGAGCACUGGAAAAAGGGCAAGUAUGAGGAUAAACAGUUGGAUCUUCCUCAAGGAUGGUAAACCCGCCUUUCUUCAUCCUCCUCCACAGAAUGGGUGGCUGAUUGUCAUCACUGUUGCCCAGCAUGUGUGGAAGACAGUGAAAGAGGCUUACCACUACCUCACACUGCUCACACUUUUGCUCUUUGAAGCGAACUGUGUUGUCAUUGGCCCAAAUUCUGCAAUGUCUACAGCAGUUGCAAUUGGUCUAGAUGAUCAAGUGGUUUGGCGAUUGUCCUUUCGUGACCUCUGUCAUCGGGAUUAUGACGCUAUCUGCUAAUGGAGGCAGGUUUAUAUUGCUAAGAUACAUUAGACCUCAGCUGAUUAGCCUGGAUAGCUACACUGUGUUCAAGCUAGUUGUCAUGUGCAGCAACGAGCAGGCUAGGUGAUUUUUAAGGAAUAUAUAUGCUUGUUUCACAGUCAUUAAUCUAGCCACUUCAAGUCACCAUCAGAGCUUAAAAUUCUAUAAUAAUUAGACUAUACAACCUCUUUAUUAACCAUCACAACACAACAAAUAUCAAGGUCAGCGCCCUGCUAUGGCUUUGCUACAUGUUUCGGCUAUCAAUAGCCGUCAUCAGGCAAAUAAGUGG